GAAUUUCGACGAAUUCUCUGCGGGUAUUCUCGCUUCGACUGGAUUCCGAAAAUUGACACUCUGGGCCGGCGAACGUCCAAAUUUUGUAGUGUCUUCUAUGAGCGAUCGAGAUGCGGCCCGAUAUCCGAAGAAACGAAAAUUCCGCUGGCUACGAAAAUACGCAGCUGCGAUGCAUCGUAACUCUGCAAUGCAUUUCCAAUCAUUUUAUUGACAACACAGGAUCACAGCGCGAGUGCCAGUUCUACAAAUAUAUUUUAUCGAUUUGAAGCGUACCAG